rnacentral:rRNA from 1 species
UACGUAGGGGGCAAGCGUUGUCCGGAUUUAUUGGGCGUAAAGAGCGUGUAGGCGGCCAUGCAGGUCCGUUGUGAAAACUCGAGGCUCAACCUCGAGACGCCGGUGGAAACCGUGUGGCUAGAGUCCGGAAGAGGAGAGUGGAAUUCCUGGUGUAGCGGUGAAAUGCGCAGAUAUCAGGAGGAACACCAAUAGCGAAGGCAGCUCGCUGGGACGGUACUGACGCUAAGGCGCGAAAAGCGUGGGGGAGCGAACAGG